AACGAGACCUUAACCUGCUAUUUAGUCGCUCGGUCCUUGUCCGUGCGCACUUCAUAGAGGGACUCUGCGGCGUCAAGCUGCGGUGAGGUUUAAGGCAAUAACAGGUCUGUGAUGCCCUUAGAUGUCCUGGGCUGCACGCGCGCUACACUGAUGCUUGCCUCGUGUUUACCCUCGGCCGAUAGGCCCUGGUAACCCCUAGUCUGCAUCGUGUUUGGGAUUGAUCUUUGCAAUUCUAGAUCAUGAACGAGGAAUGCCUAGUAUGCGCAAGUCAUCAGCUUGUGCAGAUUACGUCCCUGCCCUUUGUACAC
rnacentral:rRNA from 1 species